rnacentral:rRNA from 1 species
AGGUGCGAUCAUACUAGCGUUAAUGCAUAGGAUCCCAUCAGAACUCCGCAGUUAAGCACGCAUGGGCUAGAGUAGUACUGGGAUGGGUGACCUCCAGGGAAGUCCUAGUGUUGCACCCU